UACAUGGGGUGCAAACGUUGCUCGGAAUCAUUGGGCGUAAAGCGCGCGUAGGCGGUUACUUAUGUCGGAUGUGAAAGCCCUCGGCUUAACUGAGGAAGUGCAUUCGAAACUGGGUAGCUAGAGUACUAAAGAGGGUCGCGGAAUUCCCGGUGUAGAGGUGAAAUUCGUAGAUAUUCGCAAGAACACCAGUGGCGAAGGCGGCUCACUGGCCCGGUACUGACGCUGAGGUGCGAAAGCGUGGGGAGCAAACAGG
rnacentral:rRNA from 1 species